UCUAUCACUCCCCUUGGUUCUUUCCUCGGGUGUUAUUGACGCCGUUUCAUGUCGGUGCGUUGUUAGUGGUUCCCGUUUGUUUAUUGAAACACUCACUCCCUGUUCUUGCUUUCCGACUCUCAGCGCAAAGAACGGCCACCAGAAUUGCAGGAGCACGGCUACAGCUUGAUAAAGUGGAAUAUUGCAGGGGCCCCGUGAAUGAGGCGUUUGGUAAAAAAAAAUCUCUGGAGGUUGUUGCAGAGAAAAAGUCACAAUGUAGAACUGGCGCCAGCACAUGAUGCAGCAUUCUUUCCCCUUCGUGUGGCGGAUUCACCCAUGCUUGCAAAGUCUGACGCAUUUUAUUACACCUUACACGAUUAUGCUGAUUGCCCCACCGUAAGAACCUGGAGAUCUUCACUGGUUCUGAGGGCGGUGACGUGGCCACAAACAGUGCCUGGGACACUUUCAGCUCUACCGCUGUCUAUAGAGCAGUCAGAGGGUGGUCAAGACAUCUGCUGCAACUUCGUGUCAGCUCUGCUUCACCUGGGAGCUAAAGAGCCCUUCCUCACCACCUCCAUCACUACAACUGAUUGUCCAGCCUGCUGAGAGGGUCCUGCACAACUCCAGGGCAAGGAAGCGUGCAGGAAAGAUUAUUGUCAACCCCUUCCACCAUCUUCCAAAGACUCCCCUCUGGCAAAUACCAAAACCUCCUGCCACCUGAACAGUUUCGUCCCCUGUGCUGUCGUCCUCUCUAACCGGCCACCUGGUCCACAAUGAUCCUCUCAUCCAUGGAAUUUGCACUCUGUUCUAGUCAUCCACAGACUAUGCACCCUGCACUGUCAUCCCAGAACUGCACAUUGCUCUUUGCACUCUGCCCAUCUCUUACAGAGAAUUUGGCAGUACGUCCAACCGGCCUCACAAUUACAGACCACAUGUAACUACGCCAGCCAAGGGACCUCCAAAUCCGGCUUCUUCAACUGUGGCAUCGUCUGAGACCAUCCACCGGACGGACAGCUGAUCAAACUGAGGAGUAUUUAUGUUUGUAAUAAAACAAAUUCUGAUUGGCUGGGCCUGGCUCCCAAGUGGGUAGGCCCAUGCCCUCCCAGGUCCACCCGUGGCUGCACCCCUGCCCAGUCAUGUGAAAUCCAUAGAUUAGGGCCUAAUGUAUUCAUUUAAAUUGACUGAUUUCCUUAUAUGAACUGUAUUUUUUCUUCGGUAUACUUCCUUCGGUAUAUCAUUCAUUUUUUAAACUGGUACCGGGGGACCAUCAGACGAGUCUUGUGAGGCCUUUGGGCGUCCUAGAGCAAAUCAUGUACAUGUCUGUGUUCAUGAGAGUCUCAUCUUUCCAUAGAGGGGUCAUAAUAAUUUUAUCGGACUCUACAGAUGAUUUUGUGAGAAGACCGAUCUUCAGGAUGUCCCAUGGUCUGACAAACACACUCUAGCUCUGUCACCUUUCACCGCAGAUGCGGAAGUGCGACAUAGGCAGAUGUGGUGGAUAGAGACGCAUCCAAUGGUAUAAAACAGAUAUGUCUAGCUUAAAAAUGACAGAUGUUGUAUUAUGCUAAUUUGAUUUCCGCGGGGAUGCGAACAUCGACCUUAUUAAGUAGUGAUAACUUGUUUCCUCUGCUAGAAGGGAGAGAAACAGAGCCAGACUGUACAGUGAAGCAGAGCCAGAGAGCAUUAUGUCAAUAAUGUGCAGCAGUAAAUCACUUCAAAUACUUAAUCUUCUGUUUGACUGAGCUUGCCUGCUUUAAUGGACCAAUAGAAUGAUCCUAAAACUAAAACCGCCACUCUGGCAAUCUAGGCACUAGAAAGCUAGCGCAAAACGCUCAAAGUAUAUGAAAGAUUUCAAAUACCCAGGUCUCGUGUGUGUGUACCCUCUGUACUUUAUGCUGCGUGGUAAUGAUAACGUGUAUUGAACUGAAGAUGGCUGCCCCUUUGGCCCAGUAUGAAUAACACUAUCAGCCAGAGCAGGAAGUCAUUAAGAAUGCACAUAUCCCCACCGAGACACAGUGGCCACUAGGAUGCUUAUGCAUGAAGGUUUGUAUUACUGUUUGUAUGUUUGUGUGUGUGCCCUAAUCUAAGUGUGUGAGUGAGAGUGUGAAAUUGUCUGUGAGAAUACUGUGUGAGAGAGAACGAGGGAAAGAAUAUUGUGUAUCUGACAAUGAGUCUGCCUGUGUAUGUGGGCCUGUGUGCAUGUAUGACUGUUGGUCAACCGUGUAUGGUUGUUUGUGUGUGUGUUUGUCCUAGUCUUAGUGUGUGUUCGAGCCAAUGGCAAGUUGAGCAAAUUGAAGUGUUUUCUUCCCAGGCGUAAUGCAAAGCAGGAUCGCUGGUAUAUGAGGUAACAACAGGGCCUGGCCUAUGUUAAAAGUGAAAAAAGUACAACGUGUUUGUUAAGUGUUUGUGUUAUAAUGUGAUUGUAUUGAAAUGUGUUUUGGAAAUAAAGAUGUAAAUGGUU